GUAGGUGGCAAGCGUUGUCCGGAAUUAUUGGGCGUAAAGCGCGCGCAGGCGGUCCUUUAAGUCUGAUGUGAAAGCCCACGGGCUCAACCGUGGAGGGUCAUUGGAAACUGGGGGACUUGAGUACAGAAGAGGAAAGCGGAAUUCCAAGUGUAGCGGUGAAAUGCGUAGAGAUUUGGAGGAACACCAGUGGCGAAGGCGGCUUUCUGGUCUGUAACUGACGCUGAGGCGCGAAAGCGUGGGGAGCAAACAGGAUUAGAUACCCUGGUAGUCCACGCCGUAAACGAUGAGUGCUAAGUGUUAGGGGGUUUCCGCCCCUUAGUGCUGCAGCUAACGCAUUAAGCACUCCGCCUGGGGAGCACGGCCGCAAAGGCUG
rnacentral:rRNA from 1 species